rnacentral:ncRNA from 1 species
UCCAGUGCAGAUCUUGGUGGUAGUAGCAAAUAUUCAAAUGAGAGCUUUGAAGACCGAAGUGGAGAAAGGUUCCAUGUGAACAGCAGUUGGACAUGGGUUAGUCGAUCCUAAGAGAUAGGGAAAUUCCAUUUGCAAGCGCCCGAUCUUGGGCCGCCUAUCGAAAGGGAAUCGGGUUAAUAUUCCCGAACCGGGACGCGGAUAUUGCCGUUCGCGGCAGAUGCGGUAACGCAAACGAACACGAAGACGCUGGCGGGGGCCCUGGGAAGAGUUCUUUUUUCUUUUUAACGAGCUUUCACCCUGAAAUCAGCUUGCCUGGAAGCGGCCCCUGCAUUUUUUCUGUGAAAAAAACUACACCUGUAUGACAACUAAACCACUUAUCUCCUCCUCCCCCCUAGGAGGGUGGUUAGGAGAAACGAGCGGAAAAAAAAAGAGAACAACUUUUAACGGUGGAUCUCUUGGCUCGUGCAUCGAUGAAGAACGCAGCCAGGUGCGAUAAGUAGUGUGAAUUGCAGAAUUCAGUGAAUCAUCGAAUCUUUGAACGCAAAUGGCGCUCUUGGGUUUUCCCAGGAGCAUGUCUGUCUGAGUGUCGGUUUCCAAAAAGAGAACUCUCUCUUC